AAAAACAGAAAGGAAACCCAUCUUGUUCCAACGUGAGAGAGAGAAAGAGAGAGAGAGAGAGAGAUCAGCCGGUGGAGAAGAAGAAGAAAGAAGGAAAGAAAGGAGGAAAUAGGUAACGAGUCGGUGAAUCAAGGAGCACCGAAACCAUAGUUGUACUUUCUUUUGGAGUACGAGUUUUGCAGGCGUUGUAGAUAUCCACUGCUGAUCAUCGUGGGGUUGUACGCUCGCUUAGGGUAGCAUGUCGGGAAGGCUGGACUAGUUUUGGCAAAAUUUUGUAGAUAGGGAUGUAGUUGCAGCCUAUGUUCAUAUUUGGUUUAUUGUAUAGUUUAAUGCUUUCUUAAGACUUCCGCUGUGUUGUAAGAACGUUAAGUUUUGCGUUAUCAAUAAAAUGGUUGUUGACU